CCCUUAGAUGUCCUGGGCCGCACGCGCGCUACACUGACAUGUUCAACAAGCCUCCUAGUUCGACAGGAUUUGGGAAAUCUUUGAACGCAUGUCGUGAUAGGGAUAGAUCAUUGCAAUUAUUGGUCUUGAACGAGGAAUUCCUAGUAAACGCGAGUCAUCAGCUCGCAUUGAUUACGUCCCUGCCCUUUGUACACACCGCCCGUCGCACCUACCGAUUGAAUGUUUCGGUGAAGAUUCCGGAUAGGACUUUUUUGAUUUAUUUCAAUUCUGUCUUAAAAGCUAUCUAAACCUCAACAUUUAGAGGAAGGUGAAGUCGUAACA
rnacentral:rRNA from 1 species